rnacentral:lncRNA from 1 species
CUGGCAUUUGGGGGCGCAGCUGGAGCCACCGCGCCGAGACCGCGCCGUGUUCCACUGACAACCUCUCUCCGGGGGAGGUAAAGGUGCCUUCGCGGUGGGAGGCCCCGCCCUGGAUACACACGCCUAGAUCCUCCCAGGCUGCUGGUAAAACCCACGAUGCGCCGACAGGAGAGUCCCAGAGCGAGGAAGAUGGAUCAGGUGCUUGUGUCUAUCAGGGUUCCUUGUUGGCGGCUAAGAGACUGCAUACACAUGUGUGCAGCUAAUAUGUGGCAUGCCCUUUAUAAUCAGAGAUGAACCCACUUACCAUCAGGUUGGUAUCUUGAGUUUUGCUUCAUGGAAACACAUGGACAAUAAUGUCACUCACAGUUUCUCUUAAUCUCCUCAUUCUCUUGGAACAAAUGGUGUACACUUUAGAGGGAAUCGUGUUGUCUCUGUGCAAAGAAGAGAAAAUUUACGGUUAGUGGAGUUAAGUAACUUGCUCAAGAUAUCCCUGGUCUGUUUGCCUAAAACCCGCUUAAAAUAUUUUUUAUCAUGGGAUUUUAUGAAAGUUCUUAAAAGAGAAAAGAACAUUAUAAGGAACUCUCAUGUAACCAUCACUCAGCUUUAAAAGCUAGCAAUGUUUGCCCAUUUUAGGGCCAUUCUUACACCAUUGCAUUGGCUCCAC